UCCAUCUGAAAGCAGGUGAUGGCAAUUUACUACUAAUCAAGGAACCGGCUUCAAUGACGAGAUGCGCAUGAUAUCGCAUGCGAUUUAUCAUGCAUCGCUGGAAACUACAUUAGUGACAACACAGCUUAGAGUAUAAACAUGUACAUUUCUCUGAAUUUCAGUUAAUAGUUACAAAUACAGAGCUUAUAAUGUCUGUCAUUGCUCAACCACAAAGACCUAAAGUACAGCCAUCUGAUUUCAUAACUAAUGCAGUAUUACACUGUGAAGUGAUUUACUGUUAAUAUUUUACACUACCAUAUAAUUAACUAUAUUUGUACAGGUGAGGUAACACAACGAAAAAAUAACAGGAUGGAGACUACCUGAUUCUUCACCUAUGGCCUUAGCUUCAAAUGCAAGAAGUCCAGCAACUUUCUGAGCUGGUGGAUAUUCUAUCAGAGACUGCAUGAACAACGUUAUGAACAGAAUGAUGUCUAAUUGUCUUAUGGCAAAGUUCAAUAUGAGGGUUGGUGGACAUCUGGAAAAUAAGUCUUUUAAAGGCACACCUUUGUAUUAUGUUAUUCAAGCUUGACAAAAAUGUAGCUUGAAGGAGAAGGGACAGCUGAGUAACAAAGUCCUGGUACGCAGACGACGAUACUAUUACACUGACAAGAGUGUAAUGAUGAUGGAGACACAAGCCAGAGAAAGUGGGGACCAAACACCAGGCCAGAAUUCUGCAUGAGUCAGAUCCAGUGGGUGCAGAUCAUCAUACAGAUGGUUCAAGUGUGGAUCCACCUAAUAUUCAAGAUUUUCUGUCCUGGGACACUCGGCUAACCAUCAAGAAAGAACACACUCCAGUGGGCAUCCUUUAUCCAUCCAGACCCUCAUACAGAUGGUUGGAGUUUUGAUUCACCUAAAGUACCAUGCAAGAGCACUCAUUUUCCCUCUUGAGACCAUGGUGUGACCUGCAAGGUCGAAUGGAGACUGUAAACGAGACAAUCUUGGAGUCACCUGCAUUCACUGGUCCAGUUGUUAAUCCAAUUACAGAUGGAGAUUAUAGAAGAGGAUGAUGUCUUUUCUCCAACAUCUUUCUAGACUGAUAAAAGAUCUAGACAGGCUUGAACAAAAGUUAACAGAGGGGCUUAUAUAGAGAAUGGUGAGCAGCUACACAUAAAAGAAGAACAUGGAGAAUCUGCCCAGAGGUGUUAACCAGCAAUGCAGCUAUACAACUAAAUUGAUGCAGGCGGAAACAAUAAUGCAGCUGCUGCAGAUGAAGAAUCUGUCCGUCUACCACUGAAGGAGACGCGGAAAAUCGGGAAAAGAUGUUCUUUGCCCGAGGAAGCAUUUGAUUAAUUUAAAGAUAUUGUGUUUCUUUGUAUGUUAUAGAAAAACAUUGCUUUUUUGCAUACACUCGUGUAAAUAUGCA